AUUGAACGCUGGCGGCAGGCCUAACACAUGCAAGUCGAGCGGCAGCACGGGUACUUGUACCUGGUGGCGAGCGGCGGACGGGUGAGUAAUGCCUAGGAAUCUGCCUGGUAGUGGGGGAUAACGCUCGGAAACGGACGCUAAUACCGCAUACGUCCUACGGGAGAAAGCAGGGGACCUUCGGGCCUUGCGCUAUCAGAUGAGCCUAGGUCGGAUUAGCUAGUUGGUGAGGUAAUGGCUCACCAAGGCGACGAUCCGUAACUGGUCUGAGAGGAUGAUCAGUCACACUGGAACUGAGACACGGUCCAGACUCCUACGGGAGGCAGCAGUGGGGAAUAUUGGACAAUGGGCGAAAGCCUGAUCCAGCCAUGCCGCGUGUGUGAAGAAGGUCUUCGGAUUGUAAAG
rnacentral:rRNA from 1 species